rnacentral:rRNA from 1 species
CCUACGGGAGGCAGCAGUGGGGAAUAUUGGACAAUGGGCGAAAGCCUGAUCCAGCAAUGCCGCGUGAGUGAUGAAGGCCUUCGGGUCGUAAAGCUCUUUUACCAGGGAUGAUAAUGACAGUACCUGGAGAAUAAGCUCCGGCUAACUCCGUGCCAGCAGCCGCGGUAAUACGGAGGGAGCUAGCGUUGUUCGGAAUUACUGGGCGUAAAGAGUACGUAGGCGGUUAUUCAAGUCAGAGGUGAAAGCCCGGGGCUCAACCCCGGAACCGCCUUUGAAACUAGAUAACUAGAGUCUUGGAGAGGUUAGUGGAAUUCCGAGUGUAGAGGUGAAAUUCGUAGAUAUUCAGAAGAACACCAGUGGCGAAGGCGACUAACUGGACAAGUACUGACGCUGAGGUACGAAAGCGUGGGGAGCAAACAGGGUUAGAUACCCUGGUAGUCCACGCCGUAAACGAUGAUAACUAGUUGUUCGGUCACUUGGUGACUGAGUGACGCAGCUAACGCAUUAAGUUAUCCGCCUGGGGAGUACGGUCGCAAGAUUAAAACUCAAAGGAAUUGACGG